AUGAACUGCUUUUAUUGCCGUUUAAUAGACUGGCAGCUUUUCUUUAGUGAACUUGCCCUGCUAACAGGUGUUGAUCCUUCUGGGAGAUGCAGUGAUGACUCACUGCAGCAGAUGGGGCUCCUGAACUCUACCCUGCUUGCACCAGAGAUAGGAGAGCCUCUCUGGAAGACAGACACAAGCAAUAUGUUAGAAAUUUCACAAGAGCAUCCUAAGCUACAUGGAAGAGUCCAAACAUUGCCAGGAGAUCUGACUGAGUCUUUGAAGCAGUCUAGCUUCUACAUGUAUGCAUCACUAAGGUUAGUCAUACAUCUCUUGUGGACUACACUAACUUUUUAAGGACCUCUCAUGUAGCCUAGGAACAGUCUGCAUUUUGUACUGCAUUUUCUUAAAUUCAUAAAAAAUGAAGAGCCCUUACAAGAAAAAAAAAAAAACAGGUAAACCACUGUUCAUGAAGACAUGAAAAUAUUUCAUGUUUCAUGAGAAAAAUAUAUAUAUUUAUUCUAAUUAGAUUUUCCUAAGCAUUGCAAAUAUUUGAAAAAUCUCUGCAUGUGUAGCUGAAAAAUUGACUUCUGGUUUGUAUUUGAUUCCUGAUGAUAAGGAUGAUGAUGAUGAAAAGCAGCAUUUCAGUGAAACUUUUGACUGAAAUUUAAGAUUUGAAAAGCUUCAGAUACCUUAGACAGCAGGUCACUGUGUAUCUUUAAACUGCAAACUCCAGUAACAAUUCUGCUUGUGCAA
rnacentral:lncRNA from 1 species